UACAGAGGGGGCAAGCGUUGUUCGGAAUUACUGGGCGUAAAGCGCACGCAGGCGGACGCGCGCGUGGGGUGUGAAAUCUGGCCGCUUAACGGCCAGGCGCCAUCCCAUACGGCGCGUCUGGAGUGAUGCAGAGGUCGAUGGAAUUGCCGGUGUAGUGGUGAAAUGCGUAGAGAUCGGCAGGAACACCCAGGGGGAAACCAGUCGACUGGGCAUCUACUGACGCUGAGGUGCGAGAGCGUGGGGAGCGAACCGG
rnacentral:rRNA from 1 species